rnacentral:ncRNA from 1 species
GAGAGCACAGUACGAUGAAAGUUGUAAGCUGUGUUCGGGGGGGAGUUAUUGUCUAUCGUUGGCCUCUAUGGUAGAAUCAGCCGGGGGGCCAGAGAGGCGGUGGUUUACCCUGU